rnacentral:lncRNA from 1 species
GAGUUCAGCAAAUGGAGGCGCUUGGAAAAGGCUGGGACGCAGGCAGAGGAACGGAUUUCCUGGCCUACGAACACCCUGGCUCUUGUUUCGCGGGUGGGGUGGGGGUGGGGUGCUUUUUUUUCUUAAAGCAAAUACGUACAGGUCAUUUACUGGGUGUCAGGCCCUGCAGGAGUGAUUGAGUGGGUGAGCAGGAACUCCAGGUCCUGUCCGGGUCACUCUGACCUCAAUAGCAGUGAGGGAUUUUUUAAGGCAGCAACAGGAUUUCUGGUGUCCAGUGCUUGAAAACUCAAGGGAAGAAAGCCCCCAGCUCUCAAACCAAGCAAGGAUCUUUGUCUCUAGGCUAACAGAACAUGUGGUUCCAACAUCUGGGGUUUGUAGCCUGCAAAAAUCUAAUCAUGAAGACAGAGAGAUUGUCACAAAUUCCCAUAACGCACUUUGGGUAUCUCGGCUCUUGGCCUGUUUGGAGCAGGUAGGGAUGAGAGCUAAAAGCUGCCUAGCUCCUCUCAAGGUUGGUGUUUGGCCCCUUUUGUCUAGAUGGGGAAAAAGAGUUCUUCAUAAGCACUCUUAUCUCUACCUGUUUUAUCUGAUAAACAAAACAAUACAGGCCAGCAAGACAGCUCUGGCUCCACAGGUAAAGGUGUUUCCUGCCAAACCUAAUGACGCGAACCCACAGGGUAAAAAGAGAGAACUUAAUCCUACAAGCUGUGUCCUCUGAGCUACACACACACACAUACACACAAGCUACACACACACACAUACACACAAGCUACACAUACACAUACAAUAAACAAAUAAAUAAAUGUUUUAAAAGCAUACAAAGCCCU